CUGUCUUCCUUUAAGACCACAGAUCCUGUCUUGAAGAGGAGCAGAACGUGUUCAUCGACGUGGAC
ensembl:miRNA